UGGGGGUGCCACCACCUAUGGAGGGAAGGACCAGGGCCUCCUGCAGCUCAGGGGCCACUCAGCCCACUGGCAGCUCACUCUUUGGCUGCGGGCACGCUCUGCCGGGGCGGGUAGGGGAGCAGUGAGGGGCCCAAUACUGUCUUUUCUUUCUGGCAGAGUCUGCCCGUGGCUGGGGAGUGAGGUGCUGGUGGCAUCUGAGCUGCAGGGGUCCCCGGUUCUUCCCUCUGUGGCCAUGGUGGCCCCUGAGGCUGCCCAGGUGGGGUGCUAGCAAGCUGGGUGCUGGCUUUGAGCAGCUCAGGACCUGUUGGCAGCUCGUCCCCAGGUUGUGGGCAAGCUCUGCCAGAAAAAAAAAAAGAUCGGGCCCCUCGCUAUAACAGUGAUGGAGCCCCUAAAUUGAAAUGGUGGGUUUUUAAUCAUUGCAAUUAAAAACCCACCAAUUAAAAUCCCACUGUUUCAAUUUAGGGAGAACUACACCUCCGUCACGUGUACAAGCGGCCUUUGUUUUGUCAAACUUAAUUUGCAAUGUUUCAUUUCGAGUCAGUUCAGCAGCUGAACAUAAAUUUAUGGGGAGUUUUGUUCUUGUUUCUUUUUUGAAUCUCUGUGGUGCCCCAUAAAAGGUGCAAGAUGCAGUUGGGUGUCAAGCCUCCAUUAUUUUAAAAGCAGGUACUCAAAUCUCCCAGCACCUCACUGUCUGAUUGAAUCACCAUAGUUUGUAUCCUGCGAUGAAAGAUGUAUGGGCAGCAUGAUCCAUGAAGGAGAAUGAGAGCAUGAGCUGUGUUGGUAGUUCAGGAGAACAUGAAUGAAUGGUAAAUAAAUCCAAAAAAUCACAUAUAAAACAUUUGAAGCCUUUCUUUUCAUGACAAUUUGGUAUUUCAUUUUUUCCUUAGCGUUAAAGAUGAUGAUUUUGAGAGACCAUGUAUACUAAUUUGCAUUUCAACUCUAAAAUCUUCUGAUAAACAGCCAAAGAGCUGUAUCUUCUCACUGUGGCUUGAUUUAUCAUUCAGUGACAAGAUCAUUUAAUAUAUGAAAAAAAAUGCACCAACAUUGGCAACCUGAUCUUGGUAAUAUUUAUUUUACUCCAUUUAUCUUCUAUAUGACUAUUUUCAGCUAUGGCUAAGUUGAUCAUAUCACAUCUGACUUGUAGUACCUGCAGUCACUGUCUCUGGGGAUUUUGUUCUUUUCUCCCAGCCACAGUUAAAGCCUUUUGAAUUCUUAAAACAAAGUCACAACACCCUUCUUUGGUUUCCUCCAGAAUAUUGUCCAGUAAGGAUACAGACUUUCACAUCAUCUUCUAUACUCUCUUACUUUAUCCAUAAAGGAUCAUCAUCAUUUGUGAGUUAGGUUGUGUCAGGUUCCAGCCUGAGUUGAUAAGCAUUUCUGGUUGUAGUUUUUGCUCAGAUAACCUCUCAAUGUGUUUCUCAGCUGUCUGAAGCUAAGGAGUUUGCUUAAAAUAUGUUGAAAUCAAUCCACUUUGGCUUUUCUCUAGAUUUUUCACAGCAUCACAAAUUGCAUUUGGAAAUGGAUUCUGUGCAGUUGAGUUCCUAAUUGCAUUUCCAUCUGGAGUCCACACUCCAAUACUGGGACAAACACCCUUGACUGAAGAAAGCAUUGCAAUAUUGACUCUCCGUAUGUGCUGGAAAUCUACUCAAGACGUAAGCUCCAGUUGUCCUGUUUGAAACUCUUACAAUCUUAUAAGAAUCUCUCCUGCUUUGCACAUAUUCAGAAUUGUCAUUCAGGCAGGAUUUCUAUUUAGCCCUAAGUUAGAUAAAAUAUUUAGUGUACCUACAGGACUUCAUCAUCUGAUCUCACAAUGCUUUACAAAGGUGAGUAAAUGCACUUGGCCCAGUAUGACAGCUGGCGGUGUGUUACAUGCUGGCAGGGCCUUGCCACGCGUUGUGCUUUGAACUUGCUUUAUUCAGGUCAUAGUAAGCAUUACUACAAAUUAGAAAGUUCUCUGACGAGUUGCAUGCUAUUGCUUAGCGCUGUCAAUUAGUUUCUGAAAAACCAAGUGUUAAACAAAAUGAGCGUUAAGCAAAACUGACGACUCAUAAUGGUGACCACAAGUGUUUUUAAUGACCCAAGAUGGCAACCGUGAGUGUUACAGUGAUACUUCCUGAGUGCUCAGUGAAAUCAGGUAUCCAUUUAAAAUGAGCGUGAUAGCAAAAUUGCCCUAAGUGUAACAGCAUUAAGUGGGGGUUUCCUGUACUAUGAUCUCAGGCCUCUGGUCAGGGCUGGAUUUUAGGCUUCUGGACAGGGCUGUAGCCAGCUGUGCAGUAGACAAACAGCUGAUUCGUGGUCCUUUUUCCCCCACCACAUUGGAGUCUCGAGCCAACUGGUGAGGACUGCAUCAGUAAUCAAACCUACAUCUGACUUGGACAGCUUUCUCUUACAGACUAGUGACUUCCUUUAAUAUACAUGUUGCAGCAGACAUAAUCUGCAAGGUAGUGACAGGAAAGGCCUCAGACUUGCCAUCAAAUCUGUGCAGGCCAGACAUCUGCAAGAAAAAAAAGGCCCGCUCUCAGGUACGUCAUUCCUCAUUUCUGGAAUUUGCAUGUCUGGAGCGGGAGCAGGUGGGUAAGGUAUUUUUCAUGGGGGCAGACACACCAUGGUGGUGGUGGUGGUGUAGACAAUCUCUAAGUGACUUGCCUGCAGUCCUUUAGGAAGUCUAAAGCACUGAACCCGGUUCUCCCAAGUCCCAGGCAAGCACCUUAACCAAUGGGCAUUGGCUCUCUUUCUGGAAAAGCACCUGCUUAAAUCAUGAACCCAGAUAUUGGAAGGCUUUUAAUGGUGCUGGCAGCAGCAUUGCUGCAUGACUACCACCGUACAUCAAAGUAUCCUGAUACCACAGCUUUAGAACAGGUUGCAUCUUUUGUCAUAUCUCUGUAUGCUGUUGCCCUUUUUGCUUUUGGGCUGGUUCCCCACCCAGUGGCGUUCCAGAUCUUGAGUGAUUUUGGAGUGAGCAAUUUUAAGCUUGUGUUAUAAGACUUUGGGUGUUGAUUGAUUUGGUGGUGUUUCUGAGAGAGGCUAAAAAGGAGACAUGACUGCCCUGUGGGCUGCCCGGUAGGUGGCUUUUUCACUUUGCAUAUUUGUUUUGUAUUUUAAUACCAGUGGAUUUUGGAUUGGAAGUGUAACAGCUGGAUGUCACCGGGACUUGAAGUAAGGAACUUAAAGGCUCAGAACUUGAGCAAAAACACUGUUCUCCCUCGCUUGAAGCUAUAGAAAAAUUGUGCAGUGGUGCAGAGCGAGAUGCACAACAUACACGGAGCAGUGGGUCAUGGAAACAAUGACAUGCUGAUGCUCUGUACCGCUGAGCGGUGUCAGAAGAUGGUGUUUGCAGUGGAAACUCUGCAAAAGGAAACCUACCCUUCGAAGUGUGGGCACACGUAGCAUAUACUUCUGUCACUGCAUCUUGUCACUGUACUCCAAACAGAAGAUUAAAAUAAGUCAAAGCAAAUGGAUUAUAAGGGGCUGAAGUGGAUACAUAUGCACAGGAAUUGCAGCAUUCACAUCAAUCACGUAACCCGUGAAUACCUCCAGUUCUUUCCCACACAAUAAUAAUGUCACCUGCAGUCAGUGCCCCUGCCAGCUCUACGUGGGGAUGAUGUGUUGUUCUGAACUGUCGGUCUCCAGUUGUUCUGAAAGAGUAAGCUAUAUAGAAAAUGCCAAGGGCUGCAUCUGAGCUACUCACUUCUGAGUUGUGUGACCAAUGCAAAGUGAACUCAGAUCUCCUCGACGAUUCCCCCAGGACAGAGAGACUCAGGGAUGGAGCAGAAGAGCAUAGCUAGGUCAUGUUUUGGGCCUCUUCCACCGCCCGCUUUUGUUUGCGCUGCCCACCACAAAGGGGUGAAUCAGGAAAAGGAUGCAAUGGGUUGGUCAUGGGAGAAUUGCAUCAGGCAUAUUAGAGAAAAGAGUGUUGAUGUGGCAAAACGAGUCUUUGCUUUGUCUAGUGCUCUGGUGGUGCCAUGCCUAUGGAUGCUGUAUUAGUGGUGUAAACUAAAGGUUAAAGCUUUCCACUGCAGCUUGAACAUGUCCCCGAGCCAGGCCAAGCAGUCGUGGCGGUCUGGCUGUCUUGUCCCUGACCUACCACACCUUAGUUGUACGUAAGUGCAGUGAAGAAAUCAGGCAGUUUGGGAUGUCCAGUUUAAUGUGGAAAUUUGCACUCUCGAACUUGGAAGCAGGUUAGCCUUUUUCUUUUGAAACGGACCUGGUGGCAGGUCCCUCGUAUACAAUUGGAAGCCAAGAUGCUGCUACUUGUCAAGAAUGCAAUAUCUGCCUGGAUUUUCAUGGUGAGAAGGUCAUUUUCCUGCACGUCUGAAUCGUGUAUUCUGCUGUUGUUCAUGCUGCAUAACUGGCACGCCCAUGCUUUGAAUUUUUGUGGCCUACAGAUCUAUUUCCUUAACUCUUUAUUAAAUAUAGCCAUAGAGAGGAGCCAGCAAUGGCCAAGGUUUUAAAAACUGACUAGUCAUUUUGGAUGCCUCUAUUGAGCUACCUAAAAGGCCAUUUUAAUGAUAUGUUAAUUUGGACACCCGCUAAAUGAAGGCCUUCAGAAGAACUAAUCACUUGAAAAACUUACCCUAACACUAUCAGAAAUAUGCCAAAUCAUAUAAAAAUGCCAAAGAGUUAGCAGGCACAAAAGAGAAACCUGUGGUAUUAUUUUAAUCAUUAAUCAGAUGAAACAAAACCUUUCAUCCUUACUUAGGUACUGCUGGUUUCCUUGUCAUUUACUCAUUGUAAUGAUACGAUUCCAUAUAAUUUACAUGAAAAUGGUUUUUGGCAAUCCAUAGGGCGUUAAUUCUGCUUUGCUUCAGUGGUGUAAGGUGUGUCUCAGUGUGAAUGAUGGUGGUGGAAUCUGCAUGUAAUUCAUUUGAAUCUUAGGAGACUUUUGCAUUAGGGAAAGGUGGAAUACAGCAGCGGUAGGAAGAGAGGGUUUCUCUGAGUCUUAACUGAGUAUAAACAACAGAGAAACAAGAAAAGGAUUGUGCAGCUUUCUUUGCAAGCACUUACAGUUCAUUUUCAGCAGCCGCGAGCAGAGCCAGGGCUCUAGAUGACAGUAAUACUGCAGAGGUAUAGGAAACGGAGCAGUGCGCUGUGUUCUUCGCUCUGUGCAGCGUUCUGGUCCAUUUGUUACCCUGCCCAUCCGCUCCAUUAACUUCUUGCAUAGUCAGCUGCCUGCAUUGCUUGAAGCCAGCUGUGACCUCCUACUUGUCUACAAGCACCUCUGGGCCUUCUUCCAUGCACCCAUAACCCCCUCAACUAUUUUCCUCUCAACUCCUCCUUUAAAGCUCACUUCUGCACUGAUAGAUACAGAACACUGCCAGUGAUACCAGAUACUGACUGAAAGUGGUCUACGAAAAGCAUGUGACAUUAUUGCUUCUUCCCCCUCUGCCAUUUGUUUCAUGGCUUCACUUAGCAUAGGGUUAUAAGCUCCCUGUGGCAGAGACUUUCGAAACUCAUCUUGGAUCCCAGAUGGGAUCCAGACCAUGAAAGCUCCACAGGGGCUGGAACCAGCCUAGGGCACGGGGCACUUGCAGUAACAGUAGCCACGGCACUGACAGCAGUAGGGCAAGUGGCCACAAGCUGCUAGUCCAGUGGGCCAGAUGGAGGAGCUCUAACAGCUAGAUCUGCCCCUUGGCCCAUGGGCCAGAUGGAGGACCUUUAAGGGCCAGAUCUGGCCCAUAGGCCAUGUUUGACAUCCCUGUCUGACUCCAUAUCUGUACAACAUUUAUCACAAUGGGGCUCCAACUUAUUUAGGGCCUCUUGAAUAAGGCUGUCAUAAGAAGAAUGAAUAAUUCGGUGUGUAUAACUGAAAGGCCAAGAUAUUUUUGAAGCAUCUGAAAACUCCCUCUUGGGGAUGUAUAAGUUGAAAGAGCAUUAUAUGCAAAAACACAUCCCAUUGCGGAGAUUAAAAGUGUAUGAAUCUUGUAACACGUACAAGCUUGACAGUGCUUGCAACACAAUGGUUAUUUCAGGGGCUUCAGGGGUGCCAUUGCGUUGAAUGGAGAAUUGCUGUUUCAAAGCAUGGCUGAGAGAGAAAGAGAAAGAGAGAGAGAGAGAACGAUCAGUUGGGUAAUGCUUUAUUGGUAUAUUUACAAAGUUAAAGCAAUGUGGAAGCCUACCAGUGUCUUUAUCAUCAUGAUAAAAUAAAUUCUAAAUACCUAUA